rnacentral:rRNA from 1 species
ACGGUGUGAUUCAUGACUGGGGUGAAGUCGUAACAAGGUAGCCGUAGGGGAACCUGCGGCUGGAUCACCUCCUUAAUCGACGA